UUGUUGCUUCUCCUUGCACACUAGAUACGUAGUACCCCUCUUGCAGCUCCGCCUUCUUUGCCUAUUGAAGUCCUUUCCAUCCUUCAAAGCCCGGAUCAAUUCUUACCUCAUCCAUAAAUCUUAGCUGUUCCAACAGACUUUGGUGUCUCUCUUCGAAUGCUUCUCAUCUGACUUCUGCAACACGCAAUUUAGCACUUAAUUAUAAAGCUUAUUGUUUUUGAGCCCAGCCCCUCCUCCUCCCUGGAGCCAGUCACUGUAUCUCUUGCAAGGCUGGCUCUCAGUAAGUGUUUAUUGAACUGAAUCAUUCUGUUUUUUGAUUGUUUCACAUUUGUGAGACUUACCUGCCCCACUAGAUUAUAAACGUCACAUAUUCUUGCAUUUUCCCAUAGAGUGAAACACAGACUAGGUACUCAAUAACAAGUACUUGUUGAAUAAUUCUGAUCUUUUGCUUCAUCCACAUUAUCUUGAAACAUUUCUCCUGCAUUUACUGGAAGAUAGGAGAGGACACCAUGCUGUAAAAAAGUCAGAGAGCCACAUGGAGAACCCACGUAUAGGUGUUUGAGCAGACAGCCUGGCAGAGGUCCCAGCAGGCGGCCAGCGCCAACUUGCCAGCUGCAUGAGUGAGCUAUCUUGGGAGCGGAGCGUCCAGCUUUGGGUCAAGCUGCCCUCGUUGAUACCACAUGGAGCUGAGAACAGGUUAUGUUCGUACAUGUUUAUGUGUCACUGGAUGACAUAAUUCUAACUCAGAUUCCACGUCAAAAUGGUUAUUUUAUCCAGAAGUAAUUUUUCACGUAACCUGGUAACAAGUUUCAAGGCAAGAGCAAAGGA